rnacentral:rRNA from 1 species
UUCCGGUUGAUCCUGCCGGACCUGACUGCUAUCGGAUUGAUACUAAGCCCUGCGAGUCAUUGUAGCAAUACAAGGCAGACGGCUCAGUAACGCGUAGUCAACCUACCUUAUGGACGGGGAUAACCUCGGGAAACUGAGAAUAAUACCCGAUAGAACAUUAUGCCUGGAAUGGUUUAUGUUUCAAAUAAUUUAUUGCCGUAAGAUGGGACUGCGGCCUAUCAGUUUGUUGGUGAGGUAAUGGCCCACCUAGACUAUUACAGGUACGGGCUCUGAGAGGAGUAGCCCGGAGAUGGGUACUGAGACACGGACCCAGGCCCUAUGGGGCGCAGCAGGCGAGAAAACUUUGCAAUGUGCGAAAGCACGACAAGGUUAAUCCGAGUGGUUUCUGCUAAAGGAACCUUUUGUCAGUCCUAGAAACACUAACGAAUAAGGGGUGGGCAAGUUCUGGUGUCAGCCGCCGCGGUAAAACCAGCACCUCAAGUGGUCAGGAUGAUUAUUGGGCCUAAAGCAUCCGUAGCCUGCUUUGUAAGUUUUCGGUUAAAUCCAUACGCUCAACGUAUGGGCUGCCGGGAAUACUGCAAAGCUAGGGAGUGGGAGAGGUAGACGGUACUCGGUAGGAAGGGGUAAAAUCCUUUGAUCUAUUGAUGACCACCUGUGGCGAAGGCGGUCUACCAGAACACGUCCGACGGUGAGGGAU